UCACUUUCAACAACGGAUCUCUUGGCUCUCGCAUCGAUGAAGAAUGUAGCGAAGUGCGAUAAGUAGUGUGAAUUGCAGAAUUCCGUGAAUCAUCGAAUCUUUGAACGCAAAUUGCACUCCCUGGCAUUCCGGGGAGUAUGCCUGUUUGAGGGUCAGUU
rnacentral:rRNA from 1 species